AUAUGUUUGAUUCAGGAGAGGAUGACUGGAAGGAAACUUGGGACAGGAACCAGGCGUAGUGGAUUGUGGUAUAUGGAUCGUGAUGUGUCUAGGUCUGGUGCUAGUCCUAUUUUGGCUGUACUAGUUGGAGUAAGUGAGACAAUGGCGAUGAUCCAUCACUGUCGCAUGGGGCAUAUGGCUUUUGAUAAGAUGAGUAAGAUGUUUCCUGAUGUAAUGCGUGGAGUAGACAAGAGUAAGCUUGUGUGUGAUGCAUGUGAAUAUGCAAAGCACACAAGAAUCUCAUAUUUGAGUAAGGGGCUAAGGAGUAUAUCCCCGUUUAUGCUGAUUCACUCUGAUGUGUGGACAUGUCCUGUUGUUUCUGUUAGUGGAAUGAAAUAUUUUGUGACAUUUAUAGACUGCCACACUCGCAUGACUUGGGUGUACCUCAUGCGACAUAAAGAUGAGGUAUUCCAAUGUUUUCAGGAGUUUUAUGCCUAUGUGCGAAACCAAUUCAAUGUGCAGGUGCAGCUGAUCAGAUCUGACAAUGAAACUGAAUAUGUAAACAAGCAAUUUGGAGGUUUCCUGUCAGCACAAGGCAUAAUGCAUCAAACAUCAUGUCCAGAUACCCCUGCUCAGAAUGGUGUUGCAGAAAGGAAAAACCGACACAUUUUAUAA
rnacentral:rRNA from 1 species